UUCAAGGAAGUCUGGAUGAGUCUGAAGCCACCAGCCCCAACACCAGUCACAAUGAUGAAGAAUUUCCUGUCUCCAAGCUGAGAACCUCUGGGCUUACUGGCCCUAAGGUGGCUUUCCUUACCUUGUAAGUCAACUUGACUUGCCUUUUCUUUUAAGUAAUGUCAUGUAAGAGGUUUCCCAACAGAACAGAAGAGCUCUGGGUCUGCGGGACUGGCCCUAGCACAGCUACUAAAGUGCCACUAAAGAAGUCAGGAACAAGGUCACCUAAGGAAGAAUCAUGUUCAACCUUGCUUAUCUUGUGAAGAAAAUGCACGAAGCCUGCAAUAGGCAAGGACAAAAAGCAGCAUCUUUUGAUGAACUAGAGACAUAUGGUUGUUACCAAGUAGAGAAGAGUGCUACCAGGUUCCUUGUUACCCUGGAAAAGGCCGCUUUGCUGUCCACUGGGCAUUAUCCACAUCUUUGAAUCUCUGGGUGCCUUUUCCAAAGGCCUUUUCUCUUUUAAGAGAACAUUCCAGAGCACUAGAAGUGGUGACUUUAAACUCUUCACCCCUUUAAUUAUGGAAAGAAUGGAUUUCAGAGAAGAAUAUAAGUGUCUUCUGACAGAGUCUUCAGUCCAACCUGCUCUUACAGGAUGACUCACUUCACAGUGGCUGGCUUUUAACGUGGCAUUGAGUGGGACUGUUUCUAAUUGACUGAUCUUGAAUUACAUGGAUGGAUCUUUAAAAAUAUAUAGCAGAAUGGGUUCUGUUUAUUUUUAGUGGGUUUCUCCCAGAAAGUCUCUCUGCAUGUUUCCCUGACUGUAUACCAAUCACAUAUGGGAAGCAAAGAGAAGUGUGGUUCUCUAAGGAGAGCAUGCAAAUGACGUUUGAAAAGGUUCCUUCCCAUCCUUUCUUUCCCAGCACUGAUUUGUGUUUAGG